rnacentral:rRNA from 1 species
GGGUCAGUAGGUUGGUCGUGCCACCGGUACGUACUGGUCUCACUGAUUCCUCCUUCCUGAAGAACCGUAAUGCCAUUAAUUUAGUGUUGCGGGGAAACAGGACUGUUACUUUGAAAAAAUUAGAGUGUUUAAAGCAAGCUAACGCUUGAAUACAUUAGCAUGGAAUAAUGAAAUAGGACGAUCGAUCCUAUUUUGUUGGCUUCUAGGAUUGACGUA